rnacentral:tRNA from 1 species
GGACAAUGUACCCUGUCAGAGAUUAUCUAAACAUUAGUAAUCAUUCUUUAACUUGUACUCAACUAGGGAUGUUUUGGCCCACUCCCCUUUCUACUUAUGAUUUUAGAUCUCAUGAUAUUAGUUUAUGGUUUUGAAUUGUAGUAACAGCCACUUAUGAUCAAUAUGGUUUUGGACUAUAAAGGUAUACUCAAACUCUAGGAGGGGGUCAAAGGUUGUAGACUUGCAGUCUAUCCGUGGCCCAUCUGAUGGUAAAUCCAGACUACCACUUAAUGAAUCAAGUUUUCUUCUCCUGCUUUAAUAUCGACUUGGUGAUUUAUUGUAAUCUCAUCACAACACCCCUAAGCUGUGAGGUACUGAAAACCUUCAAAGACACUAUAAGUCUACAGGGUGGAAACUCAGCUGCAUAAAAUCCAUACUGUUCGAUGGGUAGACACACAAACAAUAUGAAUAAGCAAGGGAACAAAACAUCACAAGCAAAGCAUAAUACUACAAUAGCAGAUUUCUUUGAUGUUACAUGGAAGAAAUGCCAGAGCAGGGGUUUAGAAAGUGCAUACUUAAACUGAUCUGUGUGGCAAAGGACAAAGUAAAGAGUGUAAUCAGAAAAUACAGGAAGUGAAAGAUCACUUCAAUGAAGAGAGAUUUGGGGAAAAAGUCAAGCAGAAAUCCUCAAAAUUUGGGGCUGGGGUUGUGGCUCAGCAGUAGAGUGCUCACCUUGCACGUGUGAGACCCUGGGUUCAAUCCCCAGCACCACAUACAAAAAUAAACAAGUGAAAUAAAGGUGUUGUUUAAACUAAAAAAUAAAUAUUUAAUAAAUUAAAAAAAGA